rnacentral:rRNA from 1 species
UGAGGAAUAUUGGACAAUGGAUGGAAAUCUGAUCCAGCCAUGCCGCGUGAAGGUUAAGGUUCUAUGAAUUGUAAACUUCUUUUGUACGAGAGCAAUAAGGUGUACGUGUACACCGAUGAGAGUAUCGUACGAAUAAGCAUCGGCUAACUCCGUGCCAGCAGCCGCGGUAAUACGGAGGAUGCGAGCGUUAUCCGGAUUUAUUGGGUUUAAAGGGUGCGUAGGCUGUUUAGCGAGUCAGUGGUGAAAUAUACCGGCUUAACCGGUAAAUUGCCGUUGAAACUGCUAGGCUGGAAUACUGUUGCCGUGGGAGGAAUGUGUAAUGUAGCGGUGAAAUGCAUAGAUAUUACACAGAACACCGAUUGCGAAGGCAUCUCACGAAACAGCGAUUGACGCUGAUGCA